AAAUCUGGCCCAAGAGUUUGGCGGAGCGUCCGUGUCAUCAAAAAUCAAAUGUACAAAUCCCGCGUGCUACAAGGGAAAAGGGUGAUGGCGUCCACGUUUGAGCUGACUGGGAUGUCUUGAAGAUGGACGGCCUAGAUUGGACAAUGCGAAAUGAUUUUGACCGCCUCCGUCACCUUGCCAAAGCGUUACCGAACAUUAUUAUUCUUUUAUUGGCCGAGAAAGAAAAAGCUUUAAUUAAAAGCCGGCACCAAGGACUGCAGGUGAGUCAGGGGUAUGUGUGCUAAC
rnacentral:lncRNA from 1 species